rnacentral:rRNA from 1 species
GACGAACGCUGGCGGCGUGCUUAACACAUGCAAGUCGAACGAUGAAGCCGGAGCUUGCUCUGGUGAAUUAGUGGCGAACGGGUGAGUAACACGUGAGUAACCUGCCCUUGACUCUGGGAUAACUGCUAGAAAUGGUAGCUAAUACCGGAUACGACCCUCGGAGGCAUCUCCAGGGGGUGGAAAGAAUUUCGGUCAAGGAUGGACUCGCGGCCUAUCAGCUAGUUGGUGAGGUAACGGCUCACCAAGGCGACGACGGGUAGCCGGCCUGAGAGGGGGACAGGCCAGACUGGGACUGAGACACGGCCCGGACUCCGACGGGAGGCAGCAGUGGGGAAUAUUGCACAAUGGGCGCAAGCCUGAUGCAGCAACGCCGCGUGAGGGAUGACGGCCUUCGGGUUGUAAACCUCUUUUAGUAGGGAAGAAGCGAAAGUGACGGUACCUGCAGAAAAAGCACCGGCUAACUACGUGCCAGCAGCCGCCGUAA